rnacentral:rRNA from 1 species
UACGUAGGGUGCAAGCGUUGUCCGGAAUUAUUGGGCGUAAAGAGCUCGUGGGCGGUCUGUCGCGUCGGAUGUGAAAACCCAGGGCUCAACCCUGGGCCUGCAUUCGAUACGGGCAGACUAGAGUUCGGUAGGGGAGACUGGAAUUCCUGGUGUAGCGGUGAAAUGCGCAGAUAUCAGGAGGAACACCGGUGGCGAAGGCGGUGAUCUGGGCCGACACUGACGCUGUAGAGCGAAAGCGUGGGGAGCGAACAGG